rfam:Schistosoma rodhaini strain Burundi genome assembly, scaffold: SROB_scaffold0007122
AUCCAACUGACGAGUCCAGAAUAGAACGAAACGCGCUUCCUGGAU